rnacentral:rRNA from 1 species
UACGAAGGUCCCAAGCGUUAUCCGGAUUUAUUGGGUUUAAAGGGUGCGUAGGCGGUCUAUUAAGUCAGUGGUGAAAGCCCCAGCUCAACUUGGGAACUGCCAUUGAUACUGAUGGACUUGAGUACAUUUGAGGUGGGCGGAAUGUGUCAUGUAGCGGUGAAAUGCUUAGAUAUGACACAGAACACCGAUUGCGAAGGCAGCUCACUAAACUGUAAACUGACGCUGAGGCACGAAAGCGUGGGGAGCAAACAGG